GUAUUUAUAGCGAAUUGAUUGCAUCAUCAGCUUUAACGAUAUCACUUCAUCAUCCAUGCUUCGUUAUUUACAAUUGAACAUUACCAUGAAUUGUAUUACUGCAUAAUUCGAUGCAACAUUAUGUUUCGAAUCGAUCAUCGAAUAUAUUAAAUAUUC